AUUGAACGCUGGCGGCAGGCCUAACACAUGCAAGUCGAGCGAGCGGCGGACGGGGGAGUAAUAUAUGGGGGCUGCCCCCUUGAGGGGGGUAACUACUGGAAAAGGUAGCUACUACCGCAUCCCCUCUGAUAACCCCUAUGGGAUUAGCCAGUGGGUGAGGUAAUGGCUCACCUAGGCGACGAUCCCUCGCGGGUCUGAGAGGAUGAUCAGCCACACUGGGACGGAGACACGGCCCAGACUCCUACGGAGGCAGCAGUGGGGAAUAUUGCACAAGGGGCGCAAGCCUGAUGAAGCCAUGCCGCGUGUAUGAAGAAGGCCCUAGGGUUGUAAAGUACUUUCAGUCGGGAGGCGUUACCGACAGAAGAAGCUCCGGCUAACUCCGUGCCAGCAGCCGCGGUAAUUC
rnacentral:rRNA from 1 species